rnacentral:rRNA from 1 species
CGCGUGAGUGAAGAAGGCCUUCGGGUUGUAAAGCUCUUUCAGACGGAAAGAAACGGUCACGGCUAAUAACCGUGGCUAAUGACGGUACCGUAAGAAGAAGCACCGGCUAACUACGUGCCAGCAGCCGCGGUAAUACGUAGGGUGCGAGCGUUAAUCGGAAUUACUGGGCGUAAAGCGUGCGCAGGCGGUUUCGUAAGACAGAUGUGAAAUCCCCGGGCUUAACCUGGGAACUGCAUUUGUGACUGCGAGACUAGAGUGUAGCAGAGGGGGGUAGAAUUCCACGUGUAGCAGUGAAAUGCGUAGAGAUGUGGAGGAAUACCGAUGGCGAAGGCAGCCCCCUGGGCUAACACUGACGCUCAUGCACGAAAGCGUGGGGAGCAAACAGGAUUAGAUACCCUGGUAGUCCACGCCCUAAACGAUGUCAACUAGGUGUUGGGGAAGGAGACUUCUUUAGUACCGCAGCUAACGCGUGAAGUUGACCGCCUGGGGAGUACGGUCGCAA